rnacentral:rRNA from 1 species
UACGAAGGGAGCUAGCGUUGUUCGGAAUCACUGGGCGUAAAGCGCACGUAGGCGGAUGUGUCAGUCAGGGGUGAAAUCCCGGAGCUCAACUUCGGAACUGCCCUUGAUACAGCACGUCUUGAGUCCGGAAGAGGUGGGUGGAAUUCCUAGUGUAGAGGUGAAAUUCGUAGAUAUUAGGAAGAACACCGGUGGCGAAGGCGGCCCACUGGUCCGGUACUGACGCUGAGGUGCGAAAGCGUGGGUAGCAAACAGG